rnacentral:rRNA from 1 species
UACGGAGGGGGCGAGCGUUAUUCGGAAUCAUUGGGCGUAAAGAGCUCGUAGGCGGUUUGUCGCGUCUGCCGUGAAAGUCCGGGGCUCAACUCCGGAUCUGCGGUGGGUACGGGCAGACUAGAGUGAUGUAGGGGAGACUGGAAUUCCUGGUGUAGCGGUGAAAUGCGCAGAUAUCAGGAGGAACACCGGCGGUGUAGACGGCUGCUAGACCAUAACUGACGCUGAGGCACGAAAGCGUGGGUAGCAAACAGG